rnacentral:lncRNA from 1 species
GUUUGCUUUUCAAUAUUUUCAUUCACAUGGCAGAAAUAGGAAACUUUUUUCAUUGCCGCUGGUUUAUACUUUGUUUAAAAAAAAAAGAAGUCGAAGAUUUAUAAAGAAUAAAACAAAGAAAGAAACCAAAAGUUGGUUUAUAAAAGAUGCUCCCUUGAGUUUAUCUAGGUGUUAGAAGUUGUCAUUGAAAAAUAAAGG